AGGAUAAACGCUGGCGGCGUGCCUAACACAUGCAAGUCGAACGCGCUUUCGGGCUUCGGUGCGAGAGCGAGUGGCGGACGGGUGAGUAACACAUGGGUACCUACCUUGGAGUGAGGGAUACCGGCGAGAAAUCGCCGACAAUACCGCAUAGGCUUCUUCACAAGGGAAGCAAAGUGACGCGAGUCACGCUGUGAGAUGGGCCUGUGGCCGAUUAGCUAGUUGGGGGGGUAACGGCUUCCCAAGGCGACGAUCGGUAGCUGGUCUGAGAGGACGAUCAGCCACACUGGGAUUGAGAACGGCCCAGACUCCUACGGGAGGCAGCAGUGGGGAGUAUUGGACAAUGGGCGAAAGCCUGAUCCAGCAAUGCCGCGUGGGUGAAGAAGGUCUUCGGAUUGUAAAGCCCUUUCGGCGGGACGAUGAUGACGGUACCGCAGAAGAACGCCCGGCUAACUUCGUGCCAGCAGCCGC
rnacentral:rRNA from 1 species